GGUAGCGUGGCCGAGCGGUCUAAGGCGCUGGUUAAAGGUUCCGGAGGCGUGGAUUCGAAUCGCACCGCUGCCA